rnacentral:misc_RNA from 1 species
AAAAUAAUCCUACCUUUGUGAAUUUUGUUUGUUUGAAUAAUUUUUUUUUUUAAAAAAUUAUUGGAGUCUUUCCCUUUAGAGUUUGCUUUUGAGUUUGUAAAAGAAUUCGAAAACAUCUAAAGGGGAUGGUCAAUAAUUUUUUUUGAAAAAAGACAUUUUUUAAAAUUAAACUUUUUGUAUUCAUUUGUCUAAAAAUUAUUUUUAUAAUAUAAAAACAACUUUGACAAUGGAUCUCUUGGUUCUCGCAACGAUGAAGAACGCAGCAAAAUGCGAUAAGUAGUGUGAAUUGCAGAAUACGUGAAUCAUCGAAUCUUUGAACGCAUAUUGCACUUUUUUAGUUUACUAAAAAAGUAUGUCUGUUUGAGUAUCAGUAAAAUAUUCUCAUAAAAAUCAUUGUGUAUUUUAUGGUUAUGAGUGUUUUACAACGAUACAGUUGUUUCACUUUAAAUUUUUUUUUUAAUAUUGAAAUUUUUCUAAUUUUAAUAAUUAAAAUUGGAUAAAAUUUUCCCGUCAAAAGGAAUAACCUAAACAAUUUAAAUGAUUAAUUUUAGCAAAAUUUUCGUAAAAAAGGAAAUUUUAUUAAAAUAACUUGAUCUCAAAUCAGAUAAGAGUACCGCUGAACUUAAGCAUAUCAAUAAGCGGAGGAAAAGAAACUAACAAGGAUUCCCUUAGUAACGGCGAGUGAAGCGGGAGAGCUCAAAUUUGAAAUCUUCAAGGUUUUACCUUGACGAAUUGUAGUUUAAAGAAGUGUUUUUGCUGAAGUUUUGGUAAAAGUUCUUCGGAAUAGGACAUCAUAGAGGGUGAGAAUCCCGUAUUUGACCAUUAUUUUCAGCUUUGUGAUACACUUUCAAAGAGUCGGAUUGUUUGGGAAUGCAGUCCAAAAUGGUGGUAAAUUUCAUCUAAAGCUAAAUAUUGGCGAGAGACCGAUAGCGAACAAGUACCGUGAGGAAAGAUGAAAAGAACUUUGAAAAGAGAGUUAAACAGUACGUGAAAUUGUCAAAAGGAGCGUUUGACACCAGUGUUGUUUUCUCGAAAAUCAAUUAAAAAUGGCUCGAUUUUGUAUUGCUUGAGACUUAAAAGCUCACUGUACAUUUUUCGUGUCUUUUUUAAUGCACUUUUCGUUUAACAAGUCAACAUCAGUUUCUUUUGUUGUAAAAGGGUCAUUGGAAGGUGGCUUUCUUUUCGGAGAAAGUGUUUAUAGCCUUUGGCCUCUGCAAUCGGAGAGACUGAGGUCUGCAGCGUAGACUCUUCGGGUUAGAUACAUUUGUGCUAAGUUAUAGCUUUUUAUAGACAACUUGUUGACUAUAAUUAGUCUUGUAGCUUACUCGCUUAUGCUAUUU